UACGGAGGAUCCGAGCGUUAUCCGGAUUUAUUGGGUUUAAAGGGAGCGUAGGCGGGUUGUUAAGUCAGUUGUGAAAGUUUGCGGCUCAACCGUAAAAUUGCAGUUGAUACUGGCAUCCUUGAGUACAGUAGAGGUAGGCGGAAUUCGUGGUGUAGCGGUGAAAUGCUUAGAUAUCACGAAGAACUCCGAUUGCGAAGGCAGCCUGCUGGACUGUAUCUGACGCUGAUGCUCGAAAGUGUGGGUAUCAAACAGG
rnacentral:rRNA from 1 species